GGCAGAAAGACAAACAUCUAUAAAAGUCACUACAAAUUCUUCAUUGCUUUCCAUAAUUGGGAGUAAUAUCAUCAAUCCCAUGACCUUACCGGUAUUUUGGGAGACUCUUGGAUAAUUUGAUAUCCCAACCAGAUGAGAAAAGAAGAACUGUGGUGUACGAAAAAAUAAUUGUGGAAAGAUUGGUCUGCUUGUCAAGCCUCCAGAUGUGCAGUAGAUGCUGAUGUGGACAUGGAUAGUAAUGAAGAAGGGAUCUUGAAUACAGUGAAAGACUAUAUCGUCAUUUUUGUCACCUUUGUUUUCCUCAUCAUUAUCAUUUUGUUCAGAAACAUCAAAAAAAUGGGAGGAGGCAGACUUGAGAAAAGCAACUAAACAAACAAACCUGGUGUAGGUAGAGACCUUGUGGCUCAAGAGCGGAAGAAAGGCUGGAAAAUUUAUGAAAAAACAGCAACAGUUCAGCAUGAUUGAUUCACUUUGCUUACCUUUUCACUUCUGCAAAAGAAAGACAUCUGCUGAAAUGCAACAUCAUCUGUCAUCGCUGCCAGCUGGUCGUCAGGCGCAGGAAUGGACAUAACAAAUGAGGCGGUAGCGGUUGUCCUUUCUGGCCGGUCAUAUUUGUUUGGACAUUUGUACCUGUUUCUGCAGUGACCCUGUAAUGAGGACUCAUAAAGGUCAGGUCUUCUCUCACUGUAGGUAGCAGUGAGACACAACAAAACCAGGACCACGCUUUAAGGUUUAAGGUAUUUUUAGGCUCCCCCACCCCAAAAAAGACAUGUACUUGAGAUGUAGUCUACUACCCUUUCUAUUAAGUCAUCUUCUUCCUUCUCUGAUUUCUAAAAGAUGAACUGCUCAGAGUGAAGUUCAGGGGGAACAGCCAUGAGUUUCUGGUGUUUGAAGUAUCCACCAAUAAAAUAUAUCCCAUGUAUAA